GGAAUUCAUCCUUUCUGGUAGCUGAGUACUUGCCUUGGCUUGUUAUCUAGGACUGUUCAAUCCCUCUCUGAGACUCACUGGUCCUGAGCUCCUGCUGGUGGUUCUGGGGUCACACACCCUUGGGACAGACUUCUUUGACGUUCACUCUUUGGGGUGCACAGCGCUGCCUGCUCUGGAUUCCUGACUGAUGAGGCCUGC